rnacentral:SRP_RNA from 1 species
GCUGGGCACCGUGGCUGGUGCCUGUGAUCCCAGGGAGGCUGAGGCUGGCGGAUCGCUUGAGCUCAGGAGUUCUGGGCUGCAGUGGGCUGUGCCGGUCNGUCAAGUAUCUGUACUAAGUUUGGCAUCAAUAUGGUGAUUCCCUGGGAAGUUUGGGGUCCCUAGGCUGCCUAAGGAGGGGUGAACCGGCCCAGGUCAGAAAUGGAGCAGGUCAAAACUCCUAUGCCAAUCAGUAGUGGGAUGGUGCCUGUGAAUAGCCACUGCAGUGUAGCCUG